GACGAACGCUGGCGGUGUGCUUAACACAUGCAAGUCGAACGGUAAGGCCCUUUCGGGGGUACACGAGUGGCGCACGGGUGAGUAACACGUGAGUAACCUGCCCUCAUCUCUGGGAUAACAGUCGGAAACGGUUGCUAAUACUGGAUAUGAGCUUGCAAGGCAUCUUGUGGGUUGGAAAGAUUUUUUUGGUUGGGGAUGGACUCGCGGCCUAUCAGCUUGUUGGUGAGGUAGUGGCUCACCAAGGCUUCGACGGGUAGCCGGCCUGAGAGGGCGACCGGCCACAUUGGGACUGAGAUACGGCCCAAACUCCUACGUGAGGCAGCAGUGGGGAAUAUUGCACAAUGGACGGAAGUCUGAUGCAGCAACGCCGCGUGCGGGAGGACGGCCUUCGGGUUGGAAACCGCUUUCAAUUGUGACGAAGCUUUUUGUGACGGUAGCAGUAGAAGAAGCACCGGCUAACUACGUG
rnacentral:rRNA from 1 species